AACGCACAUUGCGCCCGCCAGUAUUCUGGCGGGCAUGCCUGUUCGAGCGUCAUUUCAACCCUCAAGCCCCAGCGGUUUGGUGUUGGGAAUCGUCCGUCGAGGACGUUCCCGAAAUAUAGUGGCGGACUCGCUGUGGCCUCCUCUGCGUAGUAGCACACCUCGCUCUGGAAACCCGGCGCGGCCCAUGCCGUAAAACCCCCAACUUCUGAAUGUUGACCUCGGAUCAGGUAGGAAUACCCGCUGAACUUAA
rnacentral:misc_RNA from 1 species